rnacentral:rRNA from 1 species
ACGGGAGGCAGCAGCUAAGAAUAUUCCGCAAUGGACGAAAGUCUGACGGAGCGACGCCGCGUGGAUGAUGAAGGUCGGAAGAUUGUAAAAUCCUUUUAUGACUGAGGAAUAAGUGAAGUGAGAGAAACGCUUCAUGGUGACUGUAGGUCAUGAAUAAGCAACGGCUAAUUACGUGCCAGCAGCCGCGGUAACACGUAAGUUGCGAGCGUUGUUCGGAAUUAUUGGGCGUAAAGGGCAUGUAGGCGGUUUUGCAAGCUUGGUGUGAAAUCCCGGAGCUCAACUCCGGAAUUGCGUUGAGAACUGCAUAACUAGAGUCACUGAGGGGCAAUCAGAAUUCCAGGUGUAGGGGUGAAAUCUGUAGAUAUCUGGAAGAAUACCAGUGGCGAAGGCGGAUUGCUGGACGACAACUGACGGUGAGGCGCGAAAGCGUGGGGAGCAAACAGGAUUAGAUACCCUGGUA